UCUUUAGAUCUGCGCGCGCAGGCACGGUUGCGCACGCGCCACGCGUUUGCCAAGUCAGACUGUAUGUCCUUCGAGGGGUGGCGCGCUUCUCUCUCUCUCUCUCUCUCUCUCUCUCUCUCUCUCUCUCUCUGUCUUAAGAAGGAGGGGGACCUCUAGCCCGCACACAGGUGGUGGGUUGGGCUAGCACCGACAACAUUUCUUCCCCCCCCCCCGCUGCCCUCCACGUUCUACCCGUGAACAACAGGGGGCGCGCGGGGGCGCUUCUAGAGUUGGCUCUGCUUCUUUCACACGUUUGCCCUGUUCGCGGCACGCCCCUCUCUCUCAAGGUUUGGGUUUCUGCGGGUUUGGAAGAAGAGCUAUAGAAAACCGAAUUUCCACAAGGAAAGGGAAAAAGAUUACUAUUAAUAGCAAGUAGUUCUAUGAAAUACUCAGCAUCUUCUGGAAGAUGGUGGAAGAGGAGGAUGAAAGUUAACUGUAGUGGAAAAGAGGAAAAAGAUGAAAAGAGAGCAGCAAGAAAACAGUUGCCAUGAGUAGAUUUUUCUUUACUUUUGUGUGUAUAAAAUGAACAGAAUGACAUUUUAUGAAAAUAUGAACGAAAUCUUUUCCAAACUGAAGGCAUACCGAGUAUGAGAAAUCUGAUUUUAAUGAAAUAAUAUCUAUUUUUCAGGCUAAUGUAUUCAAAAGUGUUUAUGUCCAUUUCUAUGUAUGUAUUUAGCUGCAUGAGAGCAUUAUAAAAAACCAAAUUCUUAAGGCAACAUAAAUAACUAUUAGAUGCCUGCUUCAAACCAAAUUAUUUGUGUGUUAUAUUUUAAUUAACAUUGAUGUCAAGUGCCUUUUUGAUUAUAUAAAAAUAAGAGUAGCAGAAAUAGAAAAGAGGUCCUUCCAUCCAC